rnacentral:tmRNA from 1 species
GGGGACGAAAGGGCUCGACAGGGAUCGGCGGGUCUGAGUUGCAGGCGGAGGGCGGCCAUCGACCUCCUUAAUCCAGGUGGCCAACAACAACAGGCGAUCGACAACUCGCCCUCGCUGCCUAGGCAGUGACGUUCAUCCCGCGUCCACCCCCGGCGGGCCGGGAAUGAGCGACGAUUUGACCGGGGCGCUGCGUGCACGACACCGAUACUGCGCGCCUAAGACCAUCGGCUGGCCCUGUCCGCACGGGCUCGCAGCGGACGGAUGGGGCGAGAUCUAACUGACGAGAUAAGCUUGUAGCAUACUCAGGGCGUCGCUCACCUGGACGGGGAGUUCAAUUCUCCCCCGUCUCCACCA